rnacentral:pre_miRNA from 1 species
GAUCUAGAGAAAACAUUUAUGCACAGACCAGACUAUUGAAAUCAGGGGGCUGAGAUGCUUCUGCCACCCU